AAUCUAUUCUUGUAGAAAUUCUACCCUCAAUUGCCACUUCUCACGAAUCAUCAUUCACUCUACAAGAUGCAAAUGAAGUGGUUCGUGUCUCAACUUCAGAUGGAAAGGGUAAGCAGCCUAUGUUUUAUGAACAUCAAGAAGAGGAACGAACAUCAAAUCAUCUAUCUGGGAAUGAGCUUGUAGUUUGGGAAAAUACAGUUUCUAG